GUAACAGUUUUCAGUUCUUUUAGGUAUAUGUAUAUAUAUGAGAGGAAUCACUGAAUCAUACAGUAGUUUUUUUUUUUUUUUUUGGUACAGGGUCUUUCUCUGUCAUCCAGGCUGGAGUGCAGCGGUGUGAUCAUGGCUCACUGCAGCCUCGACCUCCCAGGCUCAAACAAUCCUCCCACCUCAGCCUCCUGAGUAGGUAGAACUAUAGGCAUGUGCCACCACAUCCGGCUAAUUCUGUUUAUAUUUUGUAGAGAUGAGGUCUCCCUAUGUUGCUCAGGAUUAUCUCAAAUUCUUGAACUCAAGCCAUCCUUUUGCCUCAGCUUCCUAACAUGCUGGGAUUGCAGGCAUGGGCUACUGCACCCAGCCUCAUGUAGUAAUUUUAUGAUUAACUUUUUGAGGAACCACUGCGCCAUUUUCCGCAGUGGCUGAGCCAUUUUACAUUCCCACCAGCAAUGUAUGAGAGUUCUAAUUUUUUCACAUCUAAUUUUUUCACAUCCUUGCCAAUUCUUAUUAUUAUUUUAAAAAAUUAUUACAGCCAUCCUAGUGGGUGUGGAGUGGCAUCUCCUUGUGGUUUGAUUUGCAUUUCUGUAACGAUUAAUGCGGUUGAUCAUCUUUUCCGGUGUUUGUUGGCCAUUUGUGUAUCUUUUUGGAGGAAUGUCUAUUCAAGUCCUUUGCCCAUUUGUUGUUGAGUUUUAAGAGUUCUUUAUAUGUUCUGGAUAUUAGACCUGGUUUUGACUUCUGUCUUUCUCUAUGUUCCCAUCUAACUGUUUAUGGGAAAGAUGAGCUUCAUGUGGGCUGAUUUGGAGUUGGAUGUUAAGACUGAACUGGGGGCAAGUGAGAAAAAUGUCUGCAGAACUGUUCUCCAGCUCUCUGUGCUUGGCUCUGUUCUAUUUAGCAUUUUUACCAAUGACUCAAAGGUAGACACAACUAAAAUUUGGAUAAUGUUAAGUUUCUGCUUAUCAGCUGGAAACACUGAUGAGUGCCCAUGAAGAAAUUUUCAUAGAGGAUUAGUUCUUUGCUGAACAGAGCCUCAGUGACUUAAGGAUCUCACAAUCUGGGGAUCUCAAAUGUAAAAUGGCCACCAGAGGAAGGGAGGUACCUGAUGUUCUGCAGGAUGGCAUCUUCACUUAGGGGAGGGGUGUACUCACUAUUACAGGUGAUGUAUGUGUGAGAGAAUCAGAAGUGGAGGAGGGCUUAAGCCCAUUUUUAGGAAUUAAAGCCAGUGAGGUGUUCCAUGGAGGGUAUCUAGUGAUCAUCUCAGAGAGGGCUUUAACUGUGAACAAAGGGCCAGACUUUAUGGACUUUGUAGAAUUCUAAGACUAAUGUGAUUUCCUCAUAUUAAUUACGCUAUUACUCCAUGUAGAAUUUCUCUCAGUAAUCAUUAGCAAAACUCUUAAAAUGCAAAGGACCUGUACUUGUCUUUGGGGGUAUGGAGGAAAGGAAUAGCUGUAGAGGCCAGAUCUCCAACCAUAACAGGCUGUGGGGGAUCCUGAAGGGAUACAGUGAAUGUUGGGGCUACUGUGGGGGAGUAUGUUUUGCCUCCUUAUCACUAGAUGGUCUGAUGCAAGGAGAGGAACAGCCAAUACUUAGGUGUUUGAGUCAGAUUCCAAGAUGACUUCGAUGGGUUGAAACAACUGGUUGAAAUUAAGAAAGAAAAGUAAAGAAGUUGAAGGGAUGAGCAGAAUAAAUAUAAACUCCCACAGUUGGGUAAAACUCAAUUGCAUACUUACAGGAUGAAGGAGAACAGGCUUGAAAAAUUUUCCAUGAAGAGGACUCCGGGUUUUGGUUGUUGGCAUGUCAAGGUUGUAAAAAUUUGACUGCAAUGGAGAGUACGUUGUCCAGAUCAUGGGAAGCCAGGAUCCUAGUCCUUUCUGGGCUUGAGUUGAUUUCACAUGGAAUUAUAUAUCCACUGCUUGGGGCCAGCAUGUGAAGGGGCCUAUUAGUCAUGGGGCACUAGAGAGUUUUCAGAGCAAGGUGACAAGGACAGCAAGAGCCUGGAAGCCAUAUAUUACAAGGAAACAGAACCCAGGCUAACAGGUGUAGGUCACAGAGGGAGACGUUUGGAACUAAGACAAGGCAACCCUACCUCAUAGACUGGAAUUUCUACAACAGGAGAGGAGGGCUUAAGAGGGAGUGGUCCUGCCCUCUUGGGAUCAUUCAUGUAGAGGAUGACUUUUUGCUUGGAAUGAUGGUUCAGCAGGAUUUCCUGUACUGGGUGAGAUGUUAGACUAAAUGACAUAGAUAGUUCUUCCCAAUUUUAAGAGUAUGAAUUUUACAUAGACUGUUUAUUACAUAGACUGUGUCAUUUGUGUUGUUUGGUUCAUGAUUCAGGAGACUAGACAACGCUUGCCACAUGGGAUGUGAUAAGCCACAGGCAUGCCCAGGGCAGCAGACUCUGGCUGUGUCCUGCGGUGCCCCAUCAGCACUCACCAAUGCUGCAUGGUCCAGCAUCUGACUGCAGGCAAUGUCCAGCAUCUGACUGCAGGCAACGAUGACGCUUUGCCAAGGGCUCUGCUCAGGCCAGGUGCAGGCCAGGCUGCAGUGCUUGGAAGUCAAUGCCACCAGGAGCAGCUCUUGGUUGAUGACAAAAAGAAAUGGGUGAAUAAAGAACUCAGUUUAGGCCAGGUGCAGUGGCUCACGCCUGUAAUCUCAGCACUUGGGGAGGCCGAGGCGGGCGGAUCAUGAGGUCAAGAGAUGGAGACCAUCCUGGCCAACAUGGUGAAACCCCGUCUCUACUAAAAAUACAAAAAAUAAGCUGGGUGUGGUGGUGUGCACCUGUAGUCCCAGCUACUCGGGAGGCUGAGGCAGGAGAAUCGCUUGAACCUAGGAGGCGGAGGUUGCAGUCAGCUGAGAUUGUGCCACUACACUCCAGCCUGGCAGAGUGAGACUCCAUCUCAAAAAAAAAAACAAAACAAAACAAAACACAACAGAAAAAAACAAAUAAACAAAAAACAAAAACAAACAAAAAAGAACCCAGCUUCCUAACCCUGGUAGUAGUUAUGGGAGGGGGUGCUACAUAGCUACAUCUCAGCUUCCCAGGUGGUCACCUGCUCAUGAAGUCACUUGGGGGAAGUAUGGGCUUCUGUCCCUUCCCUGACUCACUUUCCCAUUCUCUAGAACACUUUCUAGAUCAUCUCCCAAACAGACCUCCUGUUCUCAAAUCCUUAUCUUCAAAUAAGCUUCUGGGAGGAACCCAGGCUAGGAUACAACAGAAGGUUUUCAGGGGAAAUAAAUCCUUCCCUGACAAGAUAUGAUGUGAGCUAGGGGUUUCCUAUAGGCAACACCCCUCCUUCCAAUACAGAAAAUCUCAGCAUGAUAGUCCCAUCUUCAUUUCAAGAAUUCUAAAAUAGGCUCCUGCCUUUCCUAGCCAUAUGUAAAGUUUUGCUCUCAAUGCUACAUGAAGAAAAAAUCUCCUUAUCACAAGGAGUCAUGUGCUUAUUGGCAUUUGUCUAUGAAAUGCGUAUAGAAUUUCAAUGGUUGUAGAGCUGGUUGUGGGGAAAAUGAGAUGUUCUGGGAUUCCAGAACUGAUUUUAUUUUUUUCACUCCAAGCACCUAGUUGAUGAAGUGCAGGUGGCUUUUUUUCUUCCAGUUCAAGUUUUCUUAGCCUAUCCAUUUAUUGGGGAAAGGGGAGGUAUAUUUGGAGUUGUUAGCUUGGUCAUAGCCCUCUGUUCCCCUUCAGCCCCAUGGACAAAUGAACCAAGGCCUGCUGAUGCAACUGGCUUUAUGGUGGAACAUGGGGUUGUGUGUUCUUUGUCCUGCCUGCUCUGGGGGCUCACCACAGCUGUGAGUCCCAGGUCAGUCUUGAGCUCUUUCUCAGUGCCCCAGUGUUGGCAAUACCCUGAACCGUUGGCUGCCUGCUAUCUUUGGCACUUUGCAUUUCUCUGAUAGUCACAUCUUUACACCCCAUGAGUCCCCCACUGUCACCUACUGUAUUGGUCAGGGUUCUCCAGAGAGACAGAACCAGUAGGAGAAUUGGUUCAUGUGAUUACAAGGCGAAGUCCCACGAUAGUCUGUCUGCAAGCUGGGGAAAGAAAAGCCAGUAGCGAGGCUCAGUCCAAGUCCAAAAACCAGAGAAGCCCACAGUGCAGCCCCCAGUCUGAGUCUGAAGUCCCAAGACCCCUGGGAUGCUGCUGGUGCACGUUCCAGAAUCUAAAGACCAAAGGAUCUGGAGUCUGAUGUCCAGGGGCAGGAGGAGAGGAAGCAAGUAUCCAGCACAGCAUGGGAAGAGAUACAGCAGAGAGCAAGCAGACUCAGCAAGCAAGCUGCUUAUCCCCCUUCUUCUGCCUGCUUUGUUCUAGCCACGCUGGCCGCCGAUUGCAUAGUGCCCACCCACAUUGAGGGUGGGCCUUCCUCUUCCAGUCCACUGACUCAUGUGUCAUCUCCUCUGGCAACACUCUCACAGACACACCCAGAAACAACACUUUACCAGCUACCUAGGCAUCCUUCAAUCCAGUCAAGUUGACAUCUACCAUUCACCAUCACAGCUACCCUCUGAGUUCCUGACUUGGGGAUGCCGAGAUGUUUGGGUUCAUCCUCCGUUUCCUCUUCGGCUCCCUCUCAGGCGUAGACAUAUACCUCACUGAUCCAUCCAUACUCCCAGGGUCUGGGUGUGAAAGAAACAUCUGUGGGUUUCCAACUUCAAAACUCCAGCCAGCAAACAGCAUAUAGGUCUCCGAUUUUUUCAAAUCCCACCUCCCCACCUCAAUUUCAGAGGGAACUCACCUAUUUCUUUUCGCUCCCUCUUCCUGUCCUGUAAGCAGGGCAGUAGAUGACUUAGCUAUGCUGUGUCAGAUUCACUUCUUUCCCUCCAACUCUUCUCCCUUCUAUUAACGUGGAACCUUUUUACACAGAACAAGGCAAGAGAGGUGGGCAUGAGGGCUAAUCAGUCCCGCCUGAACCCAUCAACUUUCACAUCUCACAUCCCUUGUCUCUAGCUCAGAAGCUGAGAAAUGGGUGCCUUGGGUCCCAGCAAUUCACACUUUGGAGCAAAUGGUGACUGCAGUUCACAUGUCUAAAUGGGGGUGGCCUGUGUGUGUGUGAGGGGGCAGAGCAGUCUGUCCUGUCUGAUGUCCCAGGCUUUUUCUCCAUGUAAAUCAUCCCCUAGCCCUAGGUGGCUUGAAACAGCAGGUAUGAACAGAUGGCAGUGGCUUCUCAGCAUCCUGUGUUCCUGGGGUGAGUCCAGCCACAGAGAGAGAGGGGAUUCACAGUAGCCACCAGGUGAACAGUGCCAUCAAAACUCUGAACUGUGUCUCAGCAAUGGCCUGGGGGCCCAGCCGAGAGGAGAUGUUCACCAGGAAACUUGCCCAGCGUGGAACUCAGUGGCCUCCACCUCAGUAAUCGAAAGCACAUUCUAAAUACAUCUCUCAGUGACUCCUGCCUCGUGGUUGUUUGGUGCAUGAUUGGACAGAUGGAGAGGUGGGCUCCCCAGUGGGUCUGGAGCGUGGGCUUCAGAGAGUGCUAAUGUUUCUCAGAUCUCCUCUGCAAAGUGCCAACUGUGGAAACACUGAAGCUCAGGCCAGGAAAUGGAAACACACUGCCAGGUGGCAGGAUGGGCUGCUUCUUAAUUAAGGAGCCUCCCCAGCUCGCGGGUGACGGGUGUGGUUUGUAAAUAGUUUAUGCACCUGUUACAUCCACGUGUUGCGGGACUGCUCCUGGGCUUUGUCCAAGUGGGGUCCAGGCCUCCUUCGCCAGAACAAUAGUAGAAAUAAUAUGUGGUCUUUAUGGAACAUUUAUAGUCUACCAAGCUUUGUGCAGUGUGAGCCCCUUUACCUGCAUUAUCUCAUCGAAUCCUCCUAGCAACCCUAGAGGUAGAUGUGUUAUUAAGCUCAUUUUAUAUGUGGGAAGCUGACAGCAAAAGGUUAAGCAAACAGCUCAAGCUCACAGAGCUGGUGGGAGAGUGAGUCAGAACUCAAACUUGUAAUUAGACAAACCUGAAUUUGGAGCCUCAGUUCAUCAUGUGUGAAACAGGGUAAUUCUAUCUACCUCACAGGAUACUGUAGGGAUGAAAGAAAAGUAUGUGGACAAAAAUCUACCAGCUUGGAAUGUGUCAUUGAGUGACAAUUUGGUAAAUGUUUGAAUGCCUAUUGUGAAGGCUAAUUUUAUGUGUCAACUUCACUAGGACAUGGUGCCCAUAUAUUUGAUCAAAUACUAUUGCAUGUGUUCCUGAAAAGGUAUUAACACUUAAAUCAGUAGACAUGGAGUAAAGCAGAUCGACUACCCUCCAUAAUGUGGGUGGGCCUUAUCCAAUCAGGUGAAGACCUUAAUAGAAAAAGAGCGACCUUUUUCUGUUAAGAAUAGAAAGCACUAUGCUGGAAUAAGAGUGAAUUCUUCCAGCACAAUAGUACCAUAGUGCCUUUGGACCAGAACUGCAGCUCUUCCAGCACAGUAGUGCCUUUGGACCAGAACUCCAGGCUCUCUGUGUACCCUGAAGAUUUGCAGCUUAUCAAGUAUCUACAAUCAUGUGAGCCAACUCCUCAAAAAU
rnacentral:lncRNA from 1 species